GCACCACUAGCAACCCACAGAGACGCGGAGCGGACACAGAAGCGAAGCUGCGAUGGAGAUGCAGGCCUUGUUUAGAUCAUACAAAAACCUAAAAACUUAGAUUUUUCAUCACAUUAAAUUUUGCGGCACAAUACAUAGAGAACUAAAUAUAAACAAAAACAAAAACUAAUUGCACAGUUUGUCUAUAAUUUACGAGACGAAUCUUUUAAGCUUAAUUAACCUA
rnacentral:lncRNA from 1 species